UAGGGAAUUUUGCGCAAUGGGGGCAACCCUGACGCAGCGACGCCGCGUGAGUGAUGAAGGCCUUCGGGUUGUAAAGCUCUGUCUAGCGGGACGAAUGAUUUGUGGUCUAACAGGCCACAAAGGUGACGGUACCGCUGGAGGAAGCACCGGCUAACUCUGUGCCAGCAGCCGCGGUAAUACAGAGGGUGCAAGCGUUAUUCGGAAUUACUGGGCGUAAAGCGUAUGUAGGCUGGUUAAUAAGUCAGUUGUGAAAUCCCGGGGCUUAACUCCGGAAUUGCAAUUGAAACUAUUAAUCUUGAGUACGGGAGAGGGUCGUGGAAUUCCUGGUGUAGAGGUGAAAUUCGUAGAUAUCAGGAGGAACACCUGAGGCGAAGGCGGCGACCUGGUCCGGAACUGACGCUGAGAUACGAGAGCGUGGGGAGCAAACAGG
rnacentral:rRNA from 1 species